CUGGUGGCGAGCGGCGGACGGGUGAGUAAUGCCUAGGAAUCUGCCUGGUAGUGGGGGAUAACGCUCGGAAACGGACGCUAAUACCGCAUACGUCCUACGGGAGAAAGCAGGGGACCUUCGGGCCUUGCGCUAUCAGAUGAGCCUAGGUCGGAUUAGCUAGUUGGUGAGGUAAUGGCUCACCAAGGCGACGAUCCGUAACUGGUCUGAGAGGAUGAUCAGUCACACUGGAACUGAGACACGGUCCAGACUCCUACGGGAGGCAGCAGUGGGGAAUAUUGGACAAUGGGCGAAAGCCUGAUCCAGCCAUGCCGCGUGUGUGAAGAAGGUCUUCGGAUUGUAAAGCACUUUAAGUUGGGAGGAAGGGCAUUUACCUAAUACGUAAGUGUUUUGACGUUACCGACAGAAUAAGCACCGGCUAACUCUGUGCCAGCAGCCGCGGUAAUACAGAGGGUGCAAGCGUUAAUCGGAAUUACUGGGCGUAAAGCGCGCGUAGGUGGUUUGUUAAGUUGAAUGUGAAAUCCCCGGGCUCAACCUGGGAACUGCAUCCAAAACUGGCAAGCUAGAGUAUGGUAGAGGGUGGUGGAAUUUCCUGUGUAGCGGUGAAAUGCGUAGAUAUAGGAAGGAACACCAGUGGCGAAGGCGACCACCUGGACUGAUACUGACACUGAGGUGCGAAAGC
rnacentral:rRNA from 1 species